rnacentral:rRNA from 1 species
AUUGAACGCUGGCGGAAUGCUUUACACAUGCAAGUCGAACGGCAGCACGGACUUCGGUCUGGUGGCGAGUGGCGAACGGGUGAGUAAUGUAUCGGAACGUGCCCAGUCGUGGGGGAUAACGUAGUGAAAAUUACGCUAAUACCGCAUACGAUCUAUGGAUGAAAGCGGGGGCUCGCAAGACCUCGCGCGAUUGGAGCGGCCGAUAUCAGAUUAGGUAGUUGGUGGGGUAAAGGCCCACCAAGCCAACGAUCUGUAGCUGGCCUGAGAGGACGAACAGACACACUGGAACUGAGACACGGUCCAGACUCCUACAGGAGGCAGCAGUGGGGAAUUUUGGACAAUGGGCGAAAGCCUGAUCCAGCCAUUCCGCGUGCAGGAUGAAGGCCCUCGGGUUGUAAACUGCUUUUGUACAGAACGAAAAGGUUUCUACUAAUACUAGGAGCUCAUGACGGUACUGUAAGAAUAAGCACCGGCUAACUACGUGCCAGCCGCCGCCGUAA